GAUGAACGCUGGCGGCGUGCCUAAUACAUGCAAGUCGAGCGAACAGACGAGGAGCUUGCUCCUCUGACGUUAGCGGCGGACGGGUGAGUAACACGUGGAUAACCUACCUAUAAGACUGGGAUAACUUCGGGAAACCGGAGCUAAUACCGGAUAAUAUAUUGAACCGCAUGGUUCAAUAGUGAAAGACGGUUUUGCUGUCACUUAUAGAUGGAUCCGCGCCGCAUUAGCUAGUUGGUAAGGUAACGGCUUACCAAGGCAACGAUGCGUAGCCGACCUGAGAGGGUGAACGGCCCCACUGGAACUGAGACACGGUCCAGGCUCCUAGGGGAGGCCGCGGUAGGGAAUCUUCCGCAAUGGGCGAAAGCCUGCAGGAGCAACGCCGGGUGGGUGAUGAAGGUCUUCGGAUCGUAAAACUCUGUUAUUAGGGAAGAACAAAUGUGUAAGUAACUAUGCACGUCUUGACGGUACCUAAUCAGAAAGCCACGGCUAACUACGUG
rnacentral:rRNA from 1 species